rnacentral:rRNA from 1 species
UGAGGAAUAUUGGUCAAUGGGCGAGAGCCUGAACCAGCCAAGUAGCGUGCAGGAUGACGGCCCUAUGGGUUGUAAACUUCUUUUAUAUGGGAAUAAAGUGAGGGACGUGUCCCUUAUUGCAUGUACCAUCCGAAUAAGGACCGGCUAAUUCCGUGCCAGCAGCCGCGGUAAUACGGAAGGUCCAGGCGUUAUCCGGAUUUAUUGGGUUUAAAGGGAGCGUAGGCCGUUUGGUAAGCGUGUUGUAAAAUGUAGGGGCUAAACUUCUAGAUGGCAGCGCGACUUGUAAGGUGUGGGUGGGAACAAGGAAGGCGGAAUUCAUGGUUUAGCAGUAAAAGGCUUAGAUAUCAUGAAGAACUCCAAUGGGAAAGGCAGCUACGGGAGCGCAACUGACGCUGAAGCUCGAAGGUGCGGGUAUCGAACAGG